CCUACGGGUGGCUGCAGUCGAGAAUCUUUCACAAUGGGGGCAACCCUGAUGGAGCGACGCCGCGUGGGGGAUGAAGGCCUUCGGGUCGUAAACCCCUGUCAUUUGUGAACAACCCUUUUCAGAUAACACCUGAAAAGCUGAUAGUAGCAAAAGAGGAAGGGACGGCUAACUCUGUGCCAGCAGCCGCGGUAAUACAGAGGUCCCAAGCGUUGUUCGGAUUCACUGGGCGUAAAGGGUGCGUAGGUGGCCGGGAAAGUUUGAUGUGAAAGCUCCGA
rnacentral:rRNA from 1 species